UAAUGCUUUAAACUCCAUUGCAGGUAUCCGAGAAAAAGGCUCGGGCAUGGUGUGCCUCAAAAGGGAAUAUCCCAUACUUUGAGACUUCUGCCAAGGAAGGCACCAAUGUUGAAGAAGCAUUCCAGGUCAUUGCAAAGAAUGCCCUGAAGAGCGGUGAAGAAGAAGAAAUAUACUUGCCUGACACAAUUGACGUUGGAAGCAGUAAUCAGCAAAGACCAACUGGAUGCGAGUGCUAAACAGAGUUCAGGAUUCAACAAUCUCAAUCUUUCUCUCUUAUUUUCUGUUUAUUCUGAGACUACAUCUGUAUUAUACAAAUGUUUUCACAGGGGAGUGAACGAUACCCCCCGCAAGUCGAACCUGGUUGUUUUGUGACUGCUAACGUAUGUACUGCUUUGAUUUGAUGGAGUUUUACGAGUUUGGUUGCUUUGUUGAGAAUUGAUGUAUAAACUAGUGUUUGCAAACAUCCUUGCUGGCAAUAUCUUACUCUUUCUGCUCCAUUUGUGUGUGUAUAAACUCACGCAUCGUACAGUUAAA